rnacentral:rRNA from 1 species
UACGUAGGGUGCAAGCGUUGUCCGGAUUUAUUGGGUUUAAAGGGUGCGUAGGCGGUCUAUUAAGUCAGUGGUGAAAUCCAACAGCUCAACUGUUGAUGUGCCAAUGAUACUGAUGGACUUGAGUACAGACGAGGUAGGUGGAAUUGACAGUGUAGCGGUGAAAUGCAUAGAUAUUGUCAAGAACACCGAUAGCGAAGGCAGCUUGCUAGCCUGUAACUGACGCUGAGGCACGAAAGUAUGGGGAUCAAACAGG